rnacentral:rRNA from 1 species
AUUGAACGCUGGCGGCAGGCCUAACACAUGCAAGUCGAACGAGUGGCGGACGGGUGAGGAAUGUCUGGGAAACUGCCUGACGGAGGGGGAUAACUACUGGAAACGGUAGCUAAUACCGCAUACCAUAAGAUGUGCCCAGAUGGGAUUAGCUUGUUGGUGGGGUAACGGCUCACCAAGGCGACGAUCCCUAGCUGGUCUGAGAGGAUGACCGGCCACACUGGAACUGAGACACGGUCCAGACUCCUACGGGAGGCAGCAGUAGGGAAUCUUCGGCAAUGGACGCAAGUCUGACCGAGCAAUGCCGCGUGUGUGAAGAAGGUUUUCGGGUUGUAAAGUACUGUCAUCGGGGAAGCGUUACCCACACAGGAAGCACCGGCUAACUCCGUGCCAGCAGCCGCGGUAAUUC